GUGUUGUACGAAAGGAAAGAUGGUUAGCACUCUCCUUGACAAGGAUGGAAGAGGCCCUUGGGCCUAACAACAUAUAUAUGGUUAAGGCAUUACCUUCAUGGUAUAUAGAAUUAAUCUGAAGUCUGU